rnacentral:tRNA from 1 species
GUUUCUAUAGUUUAAGUAAAAUGUUAGAUUGCAAAUUUAAAGAUAAUUGUAUUUAGAAAUU